UUGCGCCUCUGCCAAGGCCGCUGCGAUCCGAGCCCGGGGGAGGGGAUCCUGCUAAGGAAACGGCAUUUUCCUUCCUGAAAACAGGAGGCAAGCAGGCCUGCUGAGCCUCCGCAGGACUGAGGGCAGCACGAGCCACCAGGCCAAGGAAGGUCCUUUCCCACCCCGAGGGUCAGGCCAGAGAGCGAGGUGGCCCCGGCCCCAGGUUUUCUGGAGGAGUGGCCAGGACACAGCUGGGCUCUGGCAGGGCCGUGCGCACGCGCGUGCACACGUGGGAGGGCCUGACGGGCCACCCGUUCCCCGAGCUGCCACCUCACAGGCUGUGCCGCUGCUCCACACACCUGGAUGGCAGUUAGCAACGGAGGCCCUUUCGUCUCACGUUAAAGCCACAAUCAGGUCAGUGCACGACGACCUUCUCCAGCUUUCUAGAAUGUUGUCUUCAGAGAUGAGAGAGAACCCCCGGUGUGACUCGAGGCAGCUGAUUGCUGGCAGCAUCUGUCAGACGGGAGCUGAGAAACGCGGCUCUUCCCCAGAGCAGAGGCCGGCCGGCCCCGGGUAAGUGUCUCCAGCAGCACCGCCCAGGAGGGAGCCCCGAGACCCCGGCUCCGUCCAGCACCCCGAGUCCUGGUGCUGCUGGCAUCCCCGGGACACGGACGCGUGGGUCCUGCCUCCCCUGAGAGGCUGUGGUCUACUUGGUCGUGUGCUUACUUGUCACAGUUUGUGGUAAAACACAGCAUGUGAACUUCCCACUUAGACCACUUUAAAGUGUCCGUGAUCCAGCGGCAUUAAGGACACUUAGCGCUGUAGUACUAUGACAUCACCACGGGCUGGUUCCAGGGCUCCUCAGCCCCCAAGAGGAAACCUGCGCUCACUCACCAUCCUCCCCGGCCCCUGGCCACCUCUCACCCACUUCACGUCUCUCUGCACGUCCCCAUUCUGGUCGUUUCCUAUAAAUGCAGCCGUGUGGUACGUGGCCUCUGUGCUGGGGGCUCCCUCCACUUAGCAUCAUGUUUUCAAGGCUCAUCGGGUUAAAGUGUGUAUUGGGAAUUCUUUUAUUUUAAGGCUGAAUUCCAUUGCGUAUUCUUCAGGGAAGGACAUCUGGGUUUCUGUACCUUUGGUUCCUGUGAAUAGUGCUGCUAUGGACGCAGUGUACAAGUUUUUGUUUAAACACCUGUUUCUAUGUUUUUGGAGGGGAGCUGCUGGGGGAUAAGAUAAUUUUAUGUUUAAGUUACUUAGAAACUGCAAAACUGUUUCCACACACAUCAGGGCUGUACAGCUCCCCAGGGGAGUCUAACAGCCAGCCAAGCGGUAAGCUCCCAGCUGGUGAAGAGCCCACUAUCAGUUCUCACACAAAAAUAAAGCUAAGAGAUAAAUUGGUGCAGGUAUUGUGAAGAUCAGUAUGGCGGCUCCAAAAAGUUAAAAAUAGAACUACUGUAUGACCCAGCAGCCCACUUCUGGGUGUAUAUUCAAAGGAAAUGAACCAGUACCUUGAAGAGGUAUCAGCACGCCAUGUUCAGUGUGGCAUUACUCAUGAGAGCCCAGGUACAGAGCCACCGCAGUGUGCCCGCAGGUGAAUGGAUAAAGACAAGUUACGUAUACACGUGUGUGCGUGCGCACGCGCACACGCACACACAGGAACACCAUUCAACCACAAAGAGAAGGAAAUCCCGCCACUUGUGAACACAUGGAUGACCCGGGAGGACAUUACGCUAAGUGAAAUAAGCCAGACAUAAAAGACAAAUAUUGCAUGGUUCACUUACAUGUAGAAUUAAAAAAAACCCCAAACUCAUAGUAACAGAGCAGAAUGAAUGGUGGUUGCCAGGUAGAGGAGGGAGGUGGAUGUCGAUCAAACAGCACAAACUAUGACUGAAAAGGUACGUAAGUUCUGAGCCUGAAGGUGCUCCAUCUAAAGGUGACUACAGUUCUUAACAGUCUAUGGUUCACCUGAAAUUUGCUGAAAGUGACCCUUAAGGAUUCUCCCCACACACACAAAGGUGACUGUAAGAGGGCGGGCAUUUCAAUCAGCGUGACUGUGAAUGGAUAAAGACAACGUUAUGUACAUACAUGCGUGCGUAUCAGUGCACAGGGCACACGUAUAUCGAAACACCAUGGUGCGCACUUCAAUAUACACAAUUUUUAUUUGCAAAUCAAACCACAGUAAAGCUGGGGGUGGGAGGGAGUUGAAAAACAAACAAAAAGUCACAGCCAUAGCCAAUGAACACAGAGGGAAGAUGAAAGCAGAUGUCUGUCUAUCUGAGAAACCUCAGCCCCCUCCCCCGGGGCUAGCUGCCCUCCGUGGGGCUGUGAACGGGCCCAGAGGGACUAGGGCGCUCCUCGCCACGCGGCAGUCAGCUCCCUACGUGGGGUUCACACUGGAUGCCUUGGGCCUUGUCUCCUUCAAAGACAAGGGUUUUCUUUUAAGUUUUCCUGCUGAAAUCCAUUCAGAAAAGCUCCCAGCUCUAGAAUUGGAAAGGACCCCAUGCUGUUUUUUUUUCUUUUAGGGGAAGAGAGAACUAGGUUUAUUUGUCUACUUAUUUUUUAAGCUGAGAUACUGGGGACUGACCCCGAACCUUGUGCCUGCUACGCAGGCACUCUUACUACUGAGUUCUCUCUUCCCCCUAUUUUUUUUUUAAUGUGGUUAAAUAUACACAACAUAAAAUUUGCCAUUUGAGCCAUUUUUAAGUGUCCACUUCUGUGGAUUAAACACAGUCACACUUCUGUGCAACCAUCACCACCACCCAUCUCAACGUUUUCAUCUUCCCGAAGUGAAACUCUGUCCCCACUAAACACUAGUUCCUCACUCCCCCCACCCAGCCCCGGGCAACCACCACACUGCUUUCUGCCUGUGGACUUGGCCACUCUGGGAACACCACACAAGCGGGACCAUUCAGUGUUCACCCGCCUGUGACCUGCUUAUGUCACUGACAUCAUGUCGAGGUCAUCCAUGUUGGGGCACGUGUCAGAAUUUCCUUCCUUUUUACGGCUGAACAGCACUCCACUGUAUGUAUGGACUGCAUUUUGUUUGUCCACGGACACUUGGCUGUUGUGAAUAAUGCUAUGGAUGCUGUAUCCGUGAGAGGCUGCUUUCAGUCCUGCUGAGUAUACACCCAGAAAGCAUACGGUAAUUCUAGUCAAUAUUUUUUAAACCAAGUCUUCCAGAGUGGCUGGGCUGGGAGUGGAGAAGUGGGAAGGCAGGACAAUCUACCUGGGCCUCGUCCGAGGACACACCUGGCUCACACCUGGCUCUGCCAUUCGCCAGCUCUGACAGCUCCGCCUCUUACUUUCAGUGCUUGGAACUCCACUGCCUAAAAAGCGCAUGGCCGUCUGCAAUCGCGGCCCGGCUCCUGCCCUGCACGCCGCGGUGCUGGCCUGCAGCCUUGCCCCACCCCAGCCACCCGGUGGCUGCAUUCAGGAUGUUUUCUGUUCACCGUCUGUGAAACUUCACAGAGCUUCAGAGUUUUAGAAACGCGUGUUGUUUCAGAGCUGGUGAGGCCUCUGGACCACAGGUGGGCUCACAGGGGACACUGACAGCUCACCUGAGAAGGUCAGGUGAGUCUGCUGAUGCUCCAAACCAGGGCUGCACAGAGCAUCCUUACCCUGGGGCUUUGUUGGCACACCUGGGUCAUUCAGGGACCACAGCCAUUUUGACUUGACAUCAAAAAGUUUCCCGGUAAUUUUCAACUACAUCUUAUGCAGGUGAUGAAAUGACUCCCCUGGGGGAAGGUUUCUCUCCUGGAAACCAUGUGAGCUCAUGCAGAUUUCUGGGCAGGUUUUACUGGUGACACUAAUUCCUAUUUCUUUGAUGUAUGGUUUGGUGACCGUGACGCAGGCAGUGACAAGUGGGCAGCUAUGAUAACAGGACCAUGUUAUUCUAGAGAACUGAGCACUGAGCACCGAGUCCUCGGCCUGGAGACGUGGCCAGCUCAGGCCUGGUUUGAGGGCCUGGAGAUGCACACAGACCUGGUAAAGGCCAAGUGAAGAAACCGGCUUUGCCAUCUGUGUCAGUCCUGCUUGCUCUGUCCCGACAGGCUGCUCAAGGUGCGACUCUUCUCUUUCGCAGUCCUCAGACACAGGCUUUUCAGUCUGGUGGGGCAAAUGUGCACCUAGGAAAACCCGAGUGCCAAAGGAUACACAGGCGAGACUAACAGUGUAAUAAAACAUUCCACCAGCAGGUGGCAACAGAGGACUUUGCGAGCAGUUCUCGCAGCCGGUUCAGAAAUGCUGGAAGGUAGCUUUUAACGACUAUUGUACAAGUGAUUUAUGUGUUUGGAUUCCGCUCAAUGUUAUAUAUGCAUUGCUGAAUAAAACAUCCACAGCGUAUUUUCCAUCAGCA